rnacentral:rRNA from 1 species
CUCGUAGGCGGUUUCUUACGGCGAUGGUGAAAGCUCCCGGCUCAACUGGGAGAGGCCCGUCGCAACGGGGAGACUCGAGGGUGGUAGAGGCAAAUGGAAUUCCUGGUGUAGCGGUGAAAUGCGUAGAGAUCAGGAGGAACACCCGUGGCGAAGGCGGUUUGCUGGGCCACACCUGACGCUGAGGAGCGAAAGCCAGGGGAGCGAACGGGAUUAGAUACCCCGGUAGUCCUGGCCGUAAACGAUGGAUACUAGGUGUCAGCGGUAUCGACCCCGCUGGUGCCGCAGCUAACGCGUUAAGUAUCCCGCCUGGGGAGUACGGCCGCAAGGUUGAA